UAUUGAACUUUCACAAAUUAAAGACAACAUGAAAGCAAUAAUUAAUCAUGUAUACAACAAAGAGGAAGCAGCUUUUUUUAGAGGAAUUAUAGAUGAUUUUCUACGCUUCGCCGACGACCACAACCAGCAACCGCAUGCCACUAGAGUUGUGCCACAACUAUCAACCUCGCCGAAGCAAACCGGAGCUCCACCCCACACCUGCAGCAGAAUCAGGAGCUCCUCGCGACGCCACCAAAAUCACUGCACCCAGAUCUGCGAUGCCACCAGCCAAACAGCUCGCCGAAAAAGCAACACUUGAUCGGAACCGUUGCAACCACAGCAGAGAACGCGACCUCCUUAAACUCUGAGGAAGAAAAGAGUGAAAGUUGCAGACCCUCUUCUGCAAGUCCGGGAAGAAAACGCUUAUUUUGGAAUUUGAAUGAAGAAGCUGUGGAUGAUGUAGGAAAAUGUUCAAGUUAUUCUCGAAAAAUGAGUAACGCUCAAGUUGGAUCUUUGAUGUAUGCAGCUCCAGGUGGGGUUAGGAAAAUAGAGGACGCCGAAUAACAAUAUCUGAUGCUUAAAGUAGGCCGAAGCCUGUAUUCUCACUCUAUUGGACCUUACGCGGCCCAAAUAAAGUUCUUUAAAAUAUGUUUACACAAAAUGCGUUCAAAUAUU